rnacentral:rRNA from 1 species
UACGGAGGAGGCAAGCGUUAUCCGGAAUUAUUGGGCGUAAAGCGUCCGCAGGUGGCACUUCAAGUCUGUCGUCAAAGACUGGGGCUUAACCCUGGAAAGGCGGUGGAAACUGAAGCGCUAGAGUGCGGUAGGGGUAGAGGGAAUUCCGGGUGUAGCGGUGAAAUGCGUAGAUAUCCGGAGGAACACCGGUGGCGAAGGCGGCUUCCUGGACCGACACUGACGCUGAGGCGCGAAAGCUAGGGGAGCAAACGGG